CCCCAAUCCCUCCCAGCAUCAAAGUCUUCUCCAAUGAGUCAGCUCUUUGAGAUGGUAAAAAUGUUCUAAAAUUAGAUUAUGGUGGCAGUUGCACAACUCUGUGAAUAUACUAAAAAGCAUUCCUCCACCCCCCCAAAAAAAUAAGAUGAUGAUUGAAAAAAAGAUGAUGUAAUCACAGUGAAAGGAGCCCUGCUCAGCUUGGUGGGUAAGGGGCCUUAACCCGAGGACUUGUUUUCCCAGGUUUCUCCAAAGGAAAAUCAAAGGGUGGAAUUAGGGGCACGUGGGAAGGGCUGACAAUGCAACUAAAGUUAAGGAAGAGGAAGAUGAAAGGCGAUGGUGAGGUUUCACAUGGAAGUUUCCCGGCAGUCCACCUAGAGAGUCGCUCUCCCCUGCAUGGUCAGCUGCUAGACAGCCACCCUCUUUCCUUUAAAGGCAGAUGCGAUCUACUUUCCAGGGGUGAUUCAGAAAGAAAAGAAGACUUUGCAAAAACUGAAGCAAAAGAGAGGUUUUCUAAGCAAAGAAGGCCAUGCAGAAAGAAGUCAACAGAUUAAAGAAGAAAAAGACCCAUACACCUCCCAUCUUCCUUUGGCUUCAGUUCAGUUCAGUCGCUCAGUUGUGUCCGACUCUUUGCAACCCCA
rnacentral:lncRNA from 1 species